ACUAUUAAAGACGUGUUUGAGCCUAGUUAUAAUGAUUUAAAAUUCACGGUCCAAAACUGCAAUUACUUUUGCUCCAGCCUAAUACAAGUAUCGACCUCCUCUAGUGUACACUUACCCAUGGUUAAGAUCGUUUGCCAAAAUCUAUUUCUCUCCUUCUCUGUCUCUCUAUUUAUGUCUGUUUUUGCCCAUCCAGGUUUCUGUAACAGAAUACUGUAGAUUGAGUGGCUUAUAAAAAAACAUGUAUUUAUUUCUUAUAGUUCUGAAGGCUGGGAGUGUCCAAGAGCAAGGUACUGGCCAGUUUGGUGUCUGGGGAGGACCUGCUUGCUAGUUCAUUUUUCCUGGGUCCUCAUGUGGUGGCAGAAGGGCAAGGCAGCCCUGUGGGAUCUUUUCUGUAAGGUCACCAGUCCCAUUCAUGAGGGCUCUGCCCCCAUGACCUACACUUCCAAUAGGUUCCAUCUCCAAAUACCAUCACAUUGUGGGGUGGAUUUCAACAGUGAAUUUCAAGGCAACACAAAUAUUCAGUCUAUGGCUCUCUCUUUCUCUCUCCUCUCCCUUUUCACACCCACACCAAACUUGCAAACUUGUCCUGACCCUCUUCAUCCAGCACUGAGUCCAGACUUCUUAGAGUGGCCUACAGCCCUCUAGUGCUCCAUCCCCAUUUCCUUGUACUCACCCAUCCACCCUCCAAGCCUUAAAGUCUGGAUGUUUGGGUCAAGAGAAAACUCUCAAGACUCGGAAUUGUGGUUUACUGGAAAUGCAUUCAGACCUGUCCUAGCCCUUCUAGGAUCAGAUCUCUGUCUCCCAGCCUUACUUGGGGCAAAGUGGCACAGUGUGAAAAGUAUGGGAUUUGGACUUUAAAGACCCAAGUGUGAAUCAUGGUUCUGCCAUUCAUUGGCUGUGGGACCGUGACAAAUCACUAAUCUCCAAGUCUCAGCAUCCUCAUUGGUGAAAUGUGUUGGUUCCCUCACGACCUCGCAGAGCCAUGGUGAAGACCAUUUAAGCCAAUAUAUGUGAAAGCUUCGUAAAAUCUUAACUAGUCACAUGUACGUGUUAUGUGUUAUUGUCACUUCUAUCCUUUGAAGGGGCUGGAUUGAAGAUCUUUACGGGAGCCAUCCCUUCAUUUAUUUACCUAUUUGAUCUAUUUAUUAAGUCCUUCCUGUGUGCUAGGUACUGAUUUGGUUGGCAUUCUAGUUUGCAUGAUCCAAAGAAAAUUUGGAAAAGAGUUAACAGCAACCAAAAGCAGAUGGAGGAGGAGAACAGUUUGAAAAUGCUUGAAACACAGAAUAUUUGAUGUGGAGAGUUCAUCGGAUCUGGGACCCAACCAUAACACGUAGAUGAAAUUACUAUUGUUUUCUCCUGUUAAUGAAAGCAUAUGUUAUUUUUCCCUGUUCUAACUCUUAAAAUAAAAUUUGCAUUAAUAAGAUGUUUAAGUUUGAAUCCAGAAUGACUGACAGGCUCUGAAUGCAAUUUAGAGUGAUUGCAAUCCAUUGUUAACAGGCCUAGGGGAAGUAACAUUAAAAGUCAAAAGUGGUCUCUCACCUAGCAGGGCCAGGCAACUGGGUCAAACGGGCUUCAAGGAUUCUUCAAUCCCAAACCCUUCCUCUUGGAAAAUACAUAGUCACAUCACCUCCCACCCCAGCCCCUGGAAUCUUGAUUAAAGAGACUGCAGUAAUCUUCAGCCAU